UCGGUGCAAGCCCCGGGAUUGCCUGAGGCAAGCCAAAGGAGCCCCAGAUGGAGACGGGACUGCCGGUCGUCGGGUGUCCUGGAAGCCGAAUGCGAAUGCGGAGGGGCUCGCGGGCCGCGCGGAGGCAACCCAGGUCGGGCCAACGGGCCGCACCUCUCGUCGCGGGGCGUGCUGUACUUGAGCCGCACGACCCGCGACCGGACUCCAGCCUGCUGACGCCGGCCCGCCCCCCCGAACACCGCCAACACCAGACCAGCAAGCGCCUGGCCGGGCCCGGGGGCCCGAGGGGCUUCCAGGACCCCCCAUUGACCGGGAGGGCGUGCGUGCGUGCG
rnacentral:lncRNA from 1 species